rnacentral:rRNA from 1 species
UACGGAGGGUGCAAGCGUUAAUCGGAAUUACUGGGCGUAAAGCGUGCGCAGGCGGUUCGUUAAGUUCGAUGUGAAAGCCCCGGGCUCAACCUGGGAAUGGCAUUGAAAACUGGCGGGCUUGAGUCUGGCAGAGGGGGGUGGAAUUCCGCGUGUAGCAGUGAAAUGCGUAGAGAUGCGGAGGAACACCGAUGGCGAAGGCAGCCCCCUGGGCCAAGACUGACGCUCAGGCACGAAAGCGUGGGGAGCAAACAGG